rnacentral:rRNA from 1 species
UACAGAGGGUGCUAGCGUUAAUCGGAAUUACUGGGCGUAAAGGGCGCGUAGGCGGGCGAUUAAGUUAGUUGUGAAAUCCCUGGGCUUAACCUAGGAACUGCGACUAAGACUGGUUGUCUGGAGUACUGUAGAGGGCGGUGGAAUUUCCGGUGUAGCGGUGAAAUGCGUAGAGAUCGGAAGGAACAUCAGUGGCGAAGGCGGCCGCCUGGACAGAUACUGACGCUGAGGCGCGAGAGCGUGGGGAGCAAACAGG